rnacentral:rRNA from 1 species
UUCAGGUUGACCUCGGAUCAGGUAGGAAUACCCGCUGAACUUAAGCAUAUCAAUAAGCGGAGGAAAAGAAACCAACAGGGAUUGCCUCAGUAACGGCGAGUGAAGCGGCAACAGCUCAAAUUUGAAAUCUGGCCGCAAGGUCCGAGUUGUAAUUUGUAGAGGAUGCUUUUGGCGAGGUGACUUCCGAGUUCCCUGGAACGGGACGCCAUAGAGGGUGAGAGCCCCGUACGGUCGUGCCACCGAGCCUCUGUAAAGCUCCUUCGACGAGUCGAGUAGUUUGGGAAUGCUGCUCUAAAUGGGAGGUGUACGUCUUCUAAAGCUAAAUACCGGCCAGAGACCGAUAGCGCACAAGUAGAGUGAUCGAAAGAUGAAAAGCACUUUGAAAAGAGGGUUAAAAAGUACGUGAAAUUGUUGAAAGGGAAGCAUUCAUGACCAGACUUGGGCUUGGUUGAACAUCCGGCGUUCUCGCCGGUGCACUCUGCCAGCUCAGGCCAGCAUCAGUUUGCCCCGGGGGACAAAGGCGGCGGGAAUGUGGCUCCCUACGGGGAGUGUUAUAGCCCGUCGUGUAAUGCCCUGGGGUGGACUGAGGUUCGCGCUUCGGCACGGAUGCUGGCGUAAUGGUCAUCAAUGACCCGUCUUGAAACACGGACCAAGGAGUCGUCUUCGUAUGCGAGUGUUCGGGUGUCAAACCCCUACGCGUAAUGAAAGUGAACGUAGGUGAGAGCUUCGGCGCAUCACCGACCGAUCCUGAUGUUCUCGGAUGGAUUUGAGUAAGAGCAUACGGGGCCGGACCCGAAAGAAGGUGAACUAUGCCUGUAUAGGGUGAAGCCAGAGGAAACUCUGGUGGAGGCUCGCAGCGGUUCUGACGUGCAAAUCGAUCGUCAAAUA